rnacentral:rRNA from 1 species
GAUGAACGCUGGCGGCGUGCCUAAUACAUGCAAGUCGAGCGAACAGACGAGGAGCUUGCUCCUCUGACGUUAGCGGCGGACGGGUGAGUAACACGUGGAUAACCUACCUAUAAGACUGGGAUAACUUCGGGAAACCGGAGCUAAUACCGGAUAAUAUAUUGAACCGCAUGGUUCAAUAGUGAAAGACGGUUUUGCUGUCACUUAUAGAUGGAUCCGCGCCGCAUUAGCUAGUUGGUAAGGUAACGGCUUACCAAGGCGACGAUGCGUAGCCGACCUGAGAGGGGGAUCGGCCACACUGGAACUGAGACGCGGUCCAGACUCCUACGGGAGGCAGCAGUAGGGAAUCUUCCGCAAUGGGCGAAAGCCUGACGGAGAACGCCGCGUGAGUGAUGAAGGUCUUCGGAUCGUAAAACUCUGUUAUUAGGGAAGAACAAAUGUGUAAGUAACUAUGCACGUCUUGACGGUACCUAAUCAGAAAGCCACGGCUAACUACGUG